GGAGUGGACACACUGCCCGGGACCUUGCCCAGUUGGGACUCCAGAUUGCUGUUUUCGGGACUUCCCAGGGCCAUUCAAGUCUGGAUGCCCAGCUUACAAAGCAGUGUAUCAGAAUUACCUGUGGGGUAAACAAACAAACAGCAGCAGAAGAAGCACCAAUAUGGCUGUUCCCUGACAACAGAGAAUGUGAAGGAGAAGGUCAGGAGAAGAAUGAACAGAUUAUCUUCAUGUGCAAGGAAAACUGACUUCCUUUUCUUGAAGGCAAGGCCUCUGCUGCUGGUGACGGGACAUCCAACAACUUCCAGCCCUGG